GACGAACGCUGGCGGCGUGCUUAACACACGCAAGUCGAACGGUAAGGCCCUUCGGGGUACACGAGUGGCGAACGAGUGAGUAACACGUGGGUGAUCUGCCCUGCACUUCGGGAUAAGCCUGGGAAACUGGGUCUAAUACCGGAUAGGACCCUGGGAUGCAUGUCCUGGGGUGGAAAGCUUUUGCGGUGUGGGAUGGGCCCGCGGCCUAUCAGCUUGUUGGUGGGGUGAUGGCCUACAAAGGCGGCGACGGGUAGCCGGCCUGAGAGGGUGGCCGGCCACACUGGGACUGAGAUACGGCCCAGACUCCUACGGGAGGCAGCAGUGGGGAAUAUUGCACAAUGGGCGCAAGCCUGAUGCAGCGACGCCGCGUGAGGGAUGACGGCCUUCGGGUUGUAAACCUCUUUCAGCACCGACGAAGCGCAAGUGACGGUAGGUGCAGAAGAAGGACCGGCCAACUACGUGCCAGCCGCCGCAGUAA
rnacentral:rRNA from 1 species